rnacentral:rRNA from 1 species
AACGGCCAUAUCAUGCUGAAUAUACCGGUUCUCGUUAGAUCACCGAAGUCAAGCAUCAUUGGGCGGUCAGUACUUGGGUGGGUGACCAUCUGGGAACACCGCGUGCCGUU